CAAACCUUGGGCUGCACGGCUUCAAACUUCGUCAUUACAGAAUCACCAGCGUCUUUCUUGAUCUCCACUACUGGUAAUUCCACACACUCCUAUUGAAGAAAGAAUUGCUCCUCUGAAGUUUGCUACCCCAUCCUCUCACGUUUAUCACUUCUGCAAAGUCAUGCAGCAUGCCUCAGGUGACCCUGUGAGUCUCUGCAUGUUUGGAGAAGUUAUCUUCCUCUGAAGCUUCCUGCACUUAAAACAGACCCAGGCACAAGAGACUUCCAUGAUGAUGAUGGUGAUGAUGACAGUGAUGAUGAGGAUGAGGAUGAGGAUGGUAAUGAUAUCUUUAUUCAAACACUGAAACCAUUCAUCAUGUUAUAUGCAACCACAGGAAUAUUACAAGUUAAGAAACAAAUUAACUGACUUACAAGUCAAAUAACUUUCCCACAAUCAGUCAACUAGUAAGGGGCAGAGCUAAAAUU
rnacentral:lncRNA from 1 species